rnacentral:rRNA from 1 species
CCCCCAGUAACGGCGAGUGAACAGGGAAAAGCUCAAAUUUUGAAUCAGGUACCUUUGGUGCCUGAAUUGUAAUCUAGAGAAGUGUUUUCUGUCUUGGACCAUGUACAAGUCCCCUGGAAUGGGGUGUCAUAGAGGGUGAGAGUCCCGUACAUGACAUGGAUCCCAAUACUCUGUGAUACACUCUCAACGAGUCGAGUUGUUUGGGAAUGCAGCUCAAAAUGGGUGGUAAAUUCCAUCUAAAGCUAAAUAUUGGCGAGAGACCGAUAGCGAACAAGUACCGUGAGGGAAAGAUGAAAAGCACUUUGGAAAGAGAGUGAAAUAGUACGUGAAAUUGUUGAAAGGGAAGCGUUUGAAGUCAGUCAUGUCAAUUGGAAUUCAGCCUGGCUUCUGCCUGGUGUACUUUCCGUUGGACAGGUCAGCAUCAGUUUCGACCAAGGGAAAAAGGCAUGGGGAAUGUGGCUGUCUCCGGGCAGUGUUAUAGCCCCAAGUUGUAUGUCUUGGUUGGGACUGAGGAACGCAGCGCGCC